GGUAGUCCACGCCGUAAACGAUGUCGACUUGGAGGUUGUGCCCUUGAGGCGUGGCUUCCGGAGCUAACGCGUUAAGUCGACCGCCUGGGGAGUACGGCCGCAAGGUUAAAACUCAAAUGAAUUGACGGGGGCCCGCACAGGCGGUGGAGCAUGUGGUUUAAUUCGAUGCAACGCGAAGAACCUUACCUACUCUUGACAUCCAGAGAACUUAGCAGAGAUGCUUUGGUGCCUUCGGGAACUCUGAGACAGGUGCUGCAUGGCUGUCGUCAGCUCGUGUUGUGAAAUGUUGGGUUAAGUCCCGCAACGAGCGCAACCCUUAUCCUUUGUUGCCAGCGGUUAGGCCGGGAACUCAAAGGAGACUGCCAGUGAUAAACUGGAGGAAGGUGGGGAUGACGUCAAGUCAUCAUGGCCCUUACGAGUAGGGCUACACACGUGCUACAAUGGCGCAUACUAAGAGAAGCGACCUCGCGAGAGCAAGCGGACCUCAUAAAGUGCGUCGUAGUCCGGAUUGGAGUCUGCAACUCGACUCCAUGAAGUCGGAAUCGCUAGUAAUCGUAGAUCAGAAUGCUACGGUGAAUACGUUCCCGGGCCUUGUACACACCGCCCGUCACACCAUGGGAGUGGGUUGCAAAAGAAGUAGGUAGCUUAACCUUCGGGAGGGCGCUUACCACUUUGUGAUUCAUGACUGGGGUGAAGUCGUAACAAGGUAACCGUAGGGGAACCUGC
rnacentral:rRNA from 1 species